ACAAAAUGGGUAAGUCCUAUACGACCAGCUCCUUGUGAAUCCUCCAGGGCUUGAUCGCAGCAAAGGCAACAGGUUGUAGCGGUGCGAUGUAGCCAGCUUACCCACCC
rfam:Bacteroides sp. 43_108 Ley3_66761_scaffold_325, whole genome shotgun sequence.